rnacentral:rRNA from 3 species
GCCAGCAGCCGCGGUAAUACGUAGGGCGCAAGCGUUGUCCGGAAUUAUUGGGCGUAAAGAGCUCGUAGGCGGUUUGUCGCGUCUGGUGUGAAAACUCGAGGCUCAACCUCGAGCUUGCAUCGGGUACGGGCAGACUAGAGUGCGGUAGGGGAGACUGGAAUUCCUGGUGUAGCGGUGGAAUGCGCAGAUAUCAGGAGGAACACCGAUGGCGAAGGCAGGUCUCUGGGCCGCAACUGACGCUGAGGAGCGAAAGCAUGGGGAGCGAACAGGAUUAGAUACCCUGGUAGUCCAUGCCGUAAACGUUGGGCACUAGGUGUGGGGCUCAUUCCACGAGUUCCGUGCCGCAGCAAACGCAUUAAGUGCCCCGCCUGGGGAGUACGGCCGCAAGGCUAAAACUCAAAGGAAUUGACGGGGGCCCGCACAAGCGGCGGAGCAUGCGGAUUAAUUCGAUGCAACGCGAAGAACCUUACCAAGGCUUGACAUGCACGAGAAGCCACCAGAGAUGGUGGUCUCUUUGGACACUCGUGCACAGGUGGUGCAUGGUUGUCGUCAGCUCGUGUCGUGAGAUGUUGGGUUAAGUCCCGCAACGAGCGCAACCCUCGUCCCAUGUUGCCAGCGGGUUAUGCCGGGGACUCAUGGGAGACUGCCGGGGUCAACUCGGAGGAAGGUGGGGAUGACGUCAAAUCAUCAUGCCCCUUAUGUCUUGGGCUUCACGCAUGCUACAAUGGCCGGUACAAAGGGCUUCGAUACCGUAAGGUGGAGCGAAUCCCAAAAAGCCGGUCUCAGUUCGGAUUGGGGUCUGCAACUCGACCCCAUGAAGUCGGAGUCGCUAGUAAUCGCAGAUCAGCAACGCUGCGGUGAAUACGUUCCCGGGCCUUGUACACACCGCCCGUCAAGUCC